CCUACGGGAGGCAGCAGUAGGGAAUCUUCCACAAUGGGCGAAAGCCUGAUGGAGCAACGCCGCGUGGGUGAAGAAGGUCUUCGGAUCGUAAAACCCUGUUGUUAGAGAAGAAAGUGCGUGAGAGUAACUGUUCACGUUUCGACGGUAUCUAACCAGAAAGCCACGGCUAACUACGUGCCAGCAGCCGCGGUAAUACGUAGGUGGCAUGCGUUAUCCGGAUUUGUUGGGCGUAAAGGGAAUGCAGGCGGUAUUUUAAGUCUGAUGUGAAAGCCUUCGGUUUAACCGGAGUAGUGCAUUGGAAACUGGGAGACUUGAGUGCAGAAGAGGAGAGUGGAACUCCAUGUGUAGCGGUGAAAUGCGUAGAUAUAUGGAAGAACACCAGUGGCGAAAGCGGCUCUCUGGUCUGUAACUGACGCUGAGGUUCGAAAGCGUGGGUAGCAAACAGGAUUAGAUACCCCUGUAGUC
rnacentral:rRNA from 1 species